UAGGGAAUCUUCCACAAUGGACGAAAGUCUGAUGGAGCAACGCCGCGUGAGUGAAGAAGGUUUUCGGAUCGUAAAGCUCUGUUGUUGGUGAAGAAGGAUAGAGGCAGUAACUGGUCUUUAUUUGACGAUAAUCAACCAGAAAGUCACGGCUAACUACGUGCCAA
rnacentral:rRNA from 1 species